rnacentral:lncRNA from 1 species
GGGGGGUGGGGUGGGUAUGAGGGACCUUUGGGAUAGCAUUGAAAAUGUAAACGAGGAAAAUACCUAAUAAAAAAAAAACUAAAAAAAAAAAAAAAAGAGACAUCAAGAGGAUGCAUGUGAGGGGUUAAAAGGAAGAAAGUUAUUAUUAAAAUGUUGUAAUAAUGAUUUAAUCUCAAAAAAUAAAUAUUAAAAUUACAUCUAAAAAAAAAGAAUAUUCUCAAUUCGAUUCUUUUUCUUAUUGUGAAACAGGUACAGAGUGGGACUGGAGACCGGAAGCAGCGGGGACUCCCGCUAGGAUGUGUGUGGUGGUACUGAGAAGCUGCUCGGUGCUGGCAAUGGCUUCCCUACUGGGUUACCACGAGCUGCACCUUAGCAGAGAUGCGCGUCCCUCAGCGGCCUAUUUGUUUCCUGCUUUGCUUUGAUAAGUGGUAUCUGCGAUGACAGCGAGAGCACACAUAUAUCUAACUUUAAAAAGAUUCGAUUCUGCCCAUUAUGAUUUCCUCGCUGCUGGUAUUUUGAUGAAGAGGGAGACAGACAGUAACGCUUCCCCGAGAAAGAAACGGA